CUGGGGGGGCGCUGGGCUGUGGGUGAAUGGCGUUGUCUCUGGCAGCACAUACAGCAAGAUCAAAUGCCAAAUCUUUGGUGUUUGUGAGGAACAAAUGCCCAACAGCCAUCCCAUGGUAUGUCAGUGCUUUGUCUGACUGUAGUGUGAAGGUGUUGCUCAGGACCAGGGACACGUGGAGCUAUCGGUAAGGCUGUGAUUUCUUCUCCUCUGAAUUUGUACAGAGGGAUGAAGGGUGACCUCAUUGCAGCCUUCCAGGACCUACAGGGAGCCUCCAAACAGGAGGGGAGGCAACUGGGGAGUUGCUCUUUACAAAGUGGUCUGCAGGGCACUGCUGUCUUCAUGUCACUUGAACACAAAGCUGAUGGAAAGGGGAAUGCCUAAAGAUCAAAAGCCAAAUCUUUGGUGUUUGUGAGGAAAAAAAAUGCCCAGCAGCCGUCCUGCAGCACAUCAGUGCUUUGUCUGACUGCGGUGUGAAGGUGUUGCUCGGGACCAGGGACACUUGGACUGGUUGGUGCUACACACUCUUAGGCUACACCAUGAACAGCCUUCAUUUUCCCCUUAAGGAAUGCUGACCUUCCAGCUCCUUCCCACUGCUCCCUGUACCAAGGAGACACUUUGUUGAUGCGAGGAGUGGUGAGCAUAUUGAAGACUGACAGGAGAAAUCGCUUUGUGUCUCAAAGCACACACUGGUGAGGAUGAGAGGAUAUGUGACUGGAGUGGUGCAAACCAUGACCUGCGGGAUGGCCAGCUCUGCUCACUCAGUGUAAAACGCGCAGGAGAAUACUAGUCUCAGUCGUGGCAAUCACUGGGCAGUGCUCAUUAAUUAUUGCUAUUCUAAGUGGUCCAGACUUGCAAUAAUCUAGAAUAACAGUCCCUGAUAACAAUGCACUGAGGGCACUACCAUGCAGCCAGUCUCAG
rnacentral:lncRNA from 1 species